CCCUUAGAUGUUCUGGGCUGCACGCGCGCUACACUGAUGCAUCCAACGAGUUUUUGACCUGAGCCGAUAGGCCUAGGUAAUCUUGUGAGUAUGCAUCGUGAUGGGGAUAGAUUAUUGCAAUUAUUAAUCUUCAACGAGGAAUGCCUAGUAGGCGCGAGUCAACAGCUCGUGCCGAUUACGUCCCUGCCCUUUGUACACACCGCCCGUCGCACCUACCGAUUGGAUGGUCCGGUGAAGCCUCGGGAUUGUGGUUCUUGCCGCUUUAUUGUGGCGUGACCGCGAGAACUUGUCUAAACCUUAUCAUCUAGAGGAAGGUGAAGUCGUAACA
rnacentral:rRNA from 1 species